rnacentral:lncRNA from 1 species
CAUGCUUGUUCAGCAGUAAUAUUUUGCUGUGAAUGUCCCCCUUACCUGCAUUUAUCAUGUGUUGAUUGCUCAGUUCACUGAAGCGCAGGAUGCCGAGCAGAGCCAUGGGUCAAUAAAGUAAUUUAUAAUGAUCAACCUUCUGGGCAGACCGUGUCAUGAACCAGUCUUUACUGUUUUCUUCUAGCAGAGAAAAUCUGUUCUCCUCUUGAUUAAUAUUUGCUNNNNNNNNNNAAAAAAAAAAAAAAAAAGGCACAGAAAAUUUACUAGCCUUUAUAACAAACUUUUAUACUUAACAGAGAAAUUGGAUGAUGUGUCCAAAACUUGUAUGUUGCUCUUGAAUCCAGUAUAACAUCAACGAGUAUUUAUUUUUAAUCUAUGUGUAUCUGAUAGGUAUAUUCAUCAAUAUGUGACACAUUUAAUGACAACAGAAGUUGAUUUUAGGGUGACUUCAAGUCAGGGAAAAUGACUUCUCUUAGAUGUGGCAAAACCUGACGUGCAAACUGGUUAUUAUGAUUACACAAGCAGUAAAAUCAUCUGCGAUGCAACACAUGGCCUGGUGCCAUGUCACACCUGCAGCAGGCCCACAGGGACAAAGAAGCACACUGCUGCGGAGCAGCCCCGCUGGUUGUGGCUGCCCUUUAUCUUUGCCUUCCAGGCACCUGCUUGGGAAAGGUGGUGAGGCCUCCUGCCCUCCUGGAACCUCCUGGAACCUUCAGGAGUGGGAGCAGGGGCCUGUACCUGUGCCCUGCUGGGGGGCUGCAACAUAAUGGCAGGUGUUACAGCCCUGGAGGGCCGGACCUGCCAUGUCUGCAGGCUGCAGGGCUCGGCGGGGACACGGGAGAAGCACUGGGGACCUGCACUGCAAGGAGCUGGGUGGAAUUUCCUGGUUUUGUCCAGAAGGAGUGUGCAAGUGAAGAACCAAAGGAGGCUGAUCACUAAGCAAACUUUUCUUACUUUGCCUUUUGUGGUCAAGCCCUCUACAUUUCGUUAUAGCCCUGCAGUUUAAACGGGAAAAGGAAGCUGCUUCUCUGCUGAAGAGAUCUGUAUCCCAUUUCAUCAUUCACCUUGUAAGUCAGAAGAGACAGGAUAUGUACCUAAACAAAUAUUAUAUAUUAUAGUCCUGAUUUUCCUG